GACGAACGCUGGCGGCGUGCCUAACACAUGCAAGUCGAACGAAGCAUAGCAAUAUGCUUAGUGGCGGACGGGUGAGUAACGCGUGAACAAUCUGCCCUGUACAAAGGAAUAGCCUCGGGAAACCGGGAUUAAAACCGUAUGACACUUUAGUAUCGCAUGAUAAGAAAGUCAAAUCGAAUAGAGGUAUGGGAUGAGUUCGCGUCUGAUUAGCUGGUUGCGGGGUAACGGCCCACCAAGGCGACGAUCAGUAGCCGGCCUGAGAGGGUGAACGGCCACACUGGAACUGAGACACGGUCCAGACUCCUACGGGAGGCAGCAGUGGGGAAUAUUGCACAAUGGAGGGAACUCUGAUGCAGCGACGCCGCGUGAGUGAAGAAGGUCUUCGGAUCGUAAAACUCUGUCCUGGUGAAGAAAGACGGUAGCCAAGAAGGACCCGGCUAACUACGUGCCAGCAGCCGCGUAAACGUGUAAGUCGU
rnacentral:rRNA from 1 species